AUUUGUUUAACUGUGGCAAUAAGAAGUUUUGCUUCAUUGGCUGCAUGAAGUUUGUUUAUUAGUUUAUUGGAUUAUGUUUUCUGAUUGAUUUUAUCAGCAGUUGAUUUUUUGUUUGAACGAGAGUUCUAUAAGGAUGAUGUAAUUAAAGGGGAUAGGACACAGUGCCAGCAUCUGCGGUUAGUCUGUUUUCUUUGCUUUUAUGUGGAUUAUUGGUAUUUAUUUAUGUGCAAUGUUAGGUUAAAUUUUUUUGUUAUGGUGUUGUAUAAAUAAAUUUUGUUAAGAUAUAUGUGGUGACAGGGAUUAGAUACCCCAUUAAUAUAUUUUGUAAGGUUGUUCUAGUUUUGUAACUAAAAUGGUUUGGCAGUGAGUGAUUCUUGUUAGGGGAAGAUGCAUAGUAAAGGAUGGUCCACCUAUUAAUUUACUCUUUUUAUGUUGGUGUAUGUCUGGUUUGAUAUUAUUGUUUAGUAAUGUAAGUUUGUGUAGUUUUAGUUAAGCUAAGUCUAUGUGCUGCUUAUAAGAGU
rnacentral:rRNA from 1 species